GAGACAGCAAGCUGCCAUCCAGACCACAGUGCUUUAUCUGAAUAGAGCACACUGGAGAGGGUCAUCUUGCAUCAGACUCACAGAAAUGCCCAGAGAUGCAUGUGUAGAAUCAAUGAAGAAAUGGAGACACCCCUAGCACAAAUACCAACGUCCACAAGCAAAUGUCUAUACCCUCCUUUCAAGCAUAUCUCCAUCCUUCUCCUUCCCAUGUGGGCCUUCAGUGAACUGCUCACAUCAGCUCAGCACAUUUCUUCACUACUUGUGUUUGUAGUUGCUGUUCAUCCAUGGCAAAUAAGCUCCAGAGACACAAUCCUAAUGGAUGGGCAGACCAACAAGAGAACAUGUGACAUCUACAUGAAGAACUUCUUGCACCAUGGGAUGGUAAAGAACAGGCUAUGUUUUGAAAGCAGACCUCUGACACAGGGUCUUGCGUUUCGUCUUGCUGUCACACUGUGUUACCACACCACAUCACACUGUGUGACAUAACCGACAAACCCUGUUGUAACCUGUAUGUGUCAUGGGAAGGCAGCCUGCUGCCUGAUUCUUGUAAGAGUGCUUCAGGAAAAAGGCAAUCCUACUAAUUCCCCACAGCCAGAACUGUAGCAGGAGCAAAGCUGAACAGAGCUGCUUGCUCUCUUCCUACCUAUCUAUAAUCAGCUUCAGGCAGUCAGCACUUGUCACCCUGAACAUUUCAGAAAUUCUAGAGUACAUGGUGAUAUAAAGCCACUGAAAUGGAGUAAUGUCCCAUGAAGAAAGAGGCUGUCUGUUGAAACCUACUUUUUCACAUUCAAGUAGGAGGUGGUGUGAUAGGGCACACCACAGCAGGGUCCUGACAGCAUACGUCAGUGAGGACAAAUGAACUUUUCAGUGCUGGUCCAAGGUAUUUCAGUUUUGUAUCUAGCCCUCUCUGUGCCCUGCUGUCUUCAUGGUGGUGAUACCAGUUUGGAAGUGAUACCAAGGAACUACUCAGAAUAUGAGAACUUCAACUUUUUCUUUUGUUGCGUUCCCCAGGAAUUACCGCUCGCAACAAUUUGUGGAUGUCCCCCUCAGAUUAUUUUAACUAAGAGCUCUCCUGAUUUAUUUCGUCCCCAGGGGAUUUCUAACUUAUGUGAACUAUGACUGGUGAUAAUGAAAUAUAUUGUCGUGCCACAAAUUCAAUACAUUAAAAUAAGUGAUGGUCUCUCAUGCUCUUUCUCACUUUGAGAACUUCUAGGCUUGUAUCAUCAUCCCUAAUACAUUCAAUAUCACUGACUCACCUUAAAUUCAGAGAUGCAAAUUCUUUCAUGAAACUCAAUAAGCAGCAUUUUAGAAAGCUGUUUUUAAUAUUCAUCAAGCAGGUCAUUCAGCAUUGGGUGCCAGCUUAGCAAAACGAUGAGACGUUCCCUUGCACCUUGAUGUAGAGAUGGAUUUCAUCCAGCAUCAGAAAUUUGCUUCUCCAGCAAACAGAAUUUAACAAUGAGCUGUGCAGGCAAAGAAACAAGAUGCUUCUCUUCUCAGUAUCCUAAGAACACUUUGCUUUGUCAACAAGAGAAACGAGAGAAAAUGUCCCCCUGAGCACUAUUAUGUCAAGGCCUCUGUGGUGCUCAGCUGUCCCACUAAAGGCUUCACAGUAGACAGGCAGAGAUAUAACCUACAGGUCAAAUUCUCCCACCCAGCCUGCACUGCAGUGCAUUGAGCUCCAA